CGUACAUCGGGCUUAGAUCUAUGUUUUACCCAGACACCCCGGUUCUGCAUACGCCAUUUUGAACAUUGUUAACUAAGUUCGUCAUUUGUCUGAAAACCGCAGAGAGAGGAGGAAACGGCGCCGAUGAAAUAUAACGUGAAACUGGAUGUCUGCUGGAAAUAUUGCCAAUAAUUUUACACAGAAAGGUUUAACGUAUUUUACUCAAAAUUCUAUGUACGAUUCAUUUUCUACGAAUUGAUCUGAAAUUGCUGUAAAAUUGAUAAAUAAAGCACUCAUUUAUUUUUUAA